AUUGAACGCUGGCGGCAGGCCUAACACAUGCAGGUCGAACGGUAACAGGAAGCAGCUUGCUGCUUCGCUGACGAGUGGCGGACGGGUGAGUAAUGUCUGGGAAACUGCCUGACGGAGGGGGAUAACUACUGGAAACGGUAGCUAAUACCGCAUAACGUCGCAAGACCAAAGAGGGGGACCUUAGGGCCUCUUGCCAUCGGAUGUGCCCAGAUGGGAUUAGCUAGUAGGUGGGGUAACGGCUCACCUAGGCGACGAUCCCUAGCUGGUCUGAGAGGAUGACCAGCCACACUGGAACUGAGACACGGUCCAGACUCCUACGGGAGGCAGCAGUGGGGAAUAUUGCACAAUGGGCGCAAGCCUGAUGCAGCCAUGCCGCGUGUAUGAAGAAGGCCUUCGGGUUGUAAAGUACUUUCAGCGGGGAGGAAGGGAGUAAAGUUAAUACCUUUGCUCAUUGACGUUACCCGCAGAAGAAGCACCGGCUAACUCCGUG
rnacentral:rRNA from 1 species